rnacentral:rRNA from 1 species
AGAGUUUGAUCAUGGCUCAGGAUGAACGCUAGCGGGAGGCCUAACACAUGCAAGUCGAACGGGAUCCAUGACUUAUUGUGGUGAGAGUGGCGCACGGGUGAGUAACGCGUAUGCAACUUACCUUUAACAGAGGGAUAGCCCAUAGAAAUGUGGAUUAAUACCUCAUAGUUCUGAGAUUUCGCAUGGGAUUUCAGAUAAAGCUCCGGCGGUUAAAGAUGGGCAUGCGUGACAUUAGCUAGUUGGUAAGGUAACGGCUUACCAAGGCAACGAUGUCUAGGGGUUCUGAGAGGAUGAUCCCCCACACUGGUACUGAGACACGGACCAGACUCCUACGGGAGGCAGCAGUGAGGAAUAUUGGUCAAUGGGCGCAAGCCUGAACCAGCCAUCCCGCGUGAAGGAUGAAGGUCCUAUGGAUUGUAAACUUCUUUUAUACACCAAGAAAAACUCCCACGAGUGGGAGCCCGACGGUAGUGUAUGAAUAAGCAUCGGCUAACUCCGUGCCAGCAGCCGCGGUAAUACGGAGGAUGCAAGCGUUAUCCGGAUUCAUUGGGUUUAAAGGGUGCGUAGGCGGCUCUUUAAGUCAGUGGUGAAAUCCUGCCGCUUAACGGUAGAAUUGCCAUUGAUACUGAAGAGCUUGAGUACAGUUGAGGUAGGCGGAAUGUGUAGUGUAGCGGUGAAAUGCUUAGAUAUUACACAGAACACCGAUUGCGAAGGCAGCUUACUAAACUGUUACUGACGCUGAUGCACGAAAGCGUGGGGAGCGAACAGGAUUAGAUACCCUGGUAGUCCACGCCGUAAACGAUGCUCACUCGCUGUAUGCGAUACACAGUAUGCGGCCAAGCGAAAGCAUUAAGUGAGCCACCUGGGGAGUACGAUCGCAAGGUUGAAACUCAAAGGAAUUGACGG